CUCCUCCUGUUGCUUUGAUUCCUUUUUCGCAAACUUUCUUAUGUUCUACGUAUCCAGGUGCUCCUGAUGGCCAGCAAUAGACUUGAGACAUUGGAAGAAUGUAUAGCCUUAGCGUCUAUUUAGUGUUAAGAUUUUGUAAGUCUAAUUACUGUGAAAUAGUCCUGGUAACUUUAUCGAUUCUGGAUACAAAGAAAAAUGCAAAGUGAAAGACCUUUGGAAAUUGCUAUUCACACCAGAGUACUCUAUGAGACAUUACAUAGGUGAUCAAGAAGAGUGAUCACCUGGCUGCACUUUAGGGUAUGUUUGUCCAGGUUUUUCUAAUAAGUUAAUUCUAAUCAAUAACUUUUGUUCUAAUUAGUAACUUUUGUAUAAAUGUUAAUGUUAAAUCGCGAAACAAUGUGGGAUGGGAUACUAAGUUCUCUCCAGGAACAUGAAAUGUCAGCCCAUUUAUUCACAUCUUUUUGUCCUCCCUAUUGUAUUGGUCCAGAUUUGUUGUUCAUCCUGACUGUAUGCUGUUUUUAGACAUUAGUUAUUUUUUAUGCUUUUGUCUAAACAAGCUCUGGCCGGGCGCCAUGGCUCACACCUGUAAUCCCAGGCCUUUGGGAGGCCGAGGUAGGCAGGUCACCUGAGGUGGAGAGUUUGAGACCAGCUUGACCAACACGGUUAAACCCUGUCUCUACUUUUAAAAAAAAUACAAAAAUUAGCCGGGCAUGGAGGCACACGUCAGUAAUCCCAGCUGCUUGGGAGGCUGUGGCACGAGAAUCACUUGAACUCAAGAGGCGGAGGUUGCAGUGAGCUGAAAUUGCCCCACUGCACUCCAGUCUGGGUGACAGAGCGAGAUUCCGCCUCAAAAAAAAAAAAAAAAAAAAAAAAGGCCGGGCGCGGUGGCUCACGCCUGUAAUCCCAGCACUUUGGGAGGCCGAGGCGGGCGGAUCACGAGGUCAGGAGAUCGAGACCAUCCUGGCUAACAUGGUGAAACCCCGUCUCUACUAAGAAUACAAAAAAAAAAAAAAAUUAGCCGGGCGUGAUGGCGGGCGCCUGUAGUCCCAGCUGCUGGGAAGGCUGAAGCAGGAGAAUGGCGUGAACCCGGGAGGCGGAGCUUGCAGUGAGCCGAGAUCACGCUGCUGGCUGGGCGCAGUGGUUCAAGCCUGUAAUCCCAGUACUUUGGACGGCCAAGGCGGGCGGAUCACCUGAGGUCAGGAGUUCGAGACCAGCCUGGCCAACAUGGUGAAACCCUGUCUCUACUAAAAAUACAAAAAUUAGCCAGGAGUGAUGGUGCACACCUGUAAUCCCAGCUACCCGGGAGGCUGAGGCAGGAGAAUCGCUGGAACCUGAGAGGCCGAGGCUGCAGUGAGCCGAGAUUGUGCCACUGCACUCUAGCCUGGGUUAACAGAGUGAGACUCUAUCACAAAAAAAAAAAAAAAAAAAGGAAAAAAAAGAGUAGGUUAGGCUUUGAGUACAUCAAGAGGCUGGGAAAUGGGUUUUGCUAGCUAAGAAAGUAACAAAGACAUUUUCUCUUUUCUGUGACUGUGGCUAAGACUAGUCCUGUCCUGUCUUUGCCAUAAACUAUGUGGGAAAUGGCUUUCCUUCACAAAAUGAGUCCCUAAAGAGAAGGGAGACUGAUGGCCAUCUCUCUCCAUGUGGCCUGAAGAGCCAGGAGGUAGGAAUAAGGGGAGUCAAGCAAGGCCUUAACCAGACUCUAAUACGCAAGCUGGCCCUGUUGCCUUGGGAAGAAUGUGGCUCCGGUGAGUAGCAGCAGGUAGAGGUGUAUAAUCUGGGAUAUGUGCAGCUCUGAUGCCUUCCGUUUUAGAAAGGACUCUGCUUUGCUCUGGCCUUUAAUUUAUGCCACAUAGGCACAGGGGCUACAUAACAUAGUGGUUUACAGCAAGGAUUUGGGAUCCAGACUGGCCAGAUUUGAACUCCAGCACUAUUCCUUGAUACCUCUGAAACUUGGGACAAGUAACUUAGUCACUAUGUAUGAAAAGAGAUAAUAAUACUAGUACCUUCCUCAUACUACAAGACUACAAGAUGUGGUCAAGACCAGAAAUAUAUAAGCACUGUAAAAACAAUGUAAAACCAAAUGAAAAUUCUUCAUUUGUAUCUU
rnacentral:lncRNA from 1 species